rnacentral:lncRNA from 1 species
UUUAGUUUCAGAGAUGAGAAAAGAAAAAGGGGCUUUUAGUUUCAUAGAUGGUUUUGCCUCGAGGAAUCAGUUAAGCUUCGAAUACGAAUAGUCAUUGAAUCAGUUAAGCAGAGGAGUAAGAUCAAGAAAGCAUCCAAACAAUUAACAAAAUGAAACAAAAGCUCUCACCAGUAGUUGCAGACUGAGAUGACGGGGACAAUGAAGUAGAUGCAUAUGGAGACAACGAAGAUGACAGAGCAGUUGCAAACGACGGUCAAGCACGAUUCUGAUUUCUGAGGUUCAAGUGAGAAAAAAUAGGUAAAUCCAAAUUUUAGUUUAGCUAAUUUCAAUCAAGCACGAUUCUAUGCAGAUUUAUUGAUUUUUUUUUCUUCUGAUUAUCCUCCGAUUUUAGUUUGAAACAUAUCAGAAAAGUAGGAUACUCGUAUCUCGUACGAUACGCGUAUCUUAUCAUUCAAUAACGUAUCCCUUCAUUCCGAUACGUAUCGGGCGCGUAUCCUUUGCGUAUCAAUAUCCCCACAUGUCAAAUAUGGGAUACAUUUGCUUUCCCCUGUGUCCGUGCCUCGUAGGUAAAAUCUCAUAUCUUAAAUUCUAUUUUAUAGUGAAAGUGGACAAGAAGCAGAGUUCAAAGCUUUGACUGAUUAUGGGUGAAUCUCAACUUAACCUAUUCAGUUUUUAGGAUUUUUUUUACUAUUUGUUAUGCAGACGGAUUCAGUGUAAUUUUGAGUUUGUAUUCAGUAUCUCUAUAAAUUUUAGUUUGUAUCGAAUCAUCUUGAAGUUUUAGUGUGAGUGUAUGAGUCGAAGAAGGGAGGAAAAACAAAUCACAG